GAUGAACGCUAGCUACAGGCUUAACACAUGCAAGUCGAGGGGUAACGAGAGGAAAGCUUGCUUUCCUUGUCGACGACCGGCGCACGGGUGAGUAACGCGUAUCCAACCUGCCCCCAACUAGGGAAUAACCUUGCGAAAGUAAGACUAAUACCCUAUAUUUUCCUCAGAUGUCAUCUGACGAGGAAUAAAGAUUUAUCGGUUGUGUAUGGGGAUGCGUCUGAUUAGCUUGUUGGCAGGGUAACGGCCCACCAAGGCAACGAUCAGUAGGGGUUCUGAGAGGAAGGUCCCCCACAUUGGAACUGAGACACGGUCCAAACUCCUACGGGAGGCAGCAGUGAGGAAUAUUGGUCAAUGGGCGGAAGCCUGAACCAGCCAAGUAGCGUGCAGGAUGACGGCCCUAUGGGUUGUAAACUGCUUUUAUACAGGAAUAAAGUUAGCCACGUGUGGUUAUUUGUAGGUACUGUAUGAAUAAGGACCGGCUAAUUCCGUGCCAGCCGCCGCAGUAA
rnacentral:rRNA from 1 species